CAGCACCUCAAGUGGUCAGGAUGAUUAUUGGGCCUAAAGCAUCCGUAGCCGGCGCUGUAAGUUUUCGGUUAAAUCUGUACGCUCAACGUACAGGCUGCCGGGAAUACUGCAGCGCUAGGGAGUGGGAGAGGUAGACGGUACUCGGUAGGAAGGGGUAAAACCCUUUGAUCUAUUGAUGACCACCUGUGGCGAAGGCGGUCUACCAGAACACGUCCGACGGUGAGUGAUGAAAGCUGGGGGAGCAAACCGGAUUAGAGACCCGAGUAGUCC
rnacentral:rRNA from 1 species